rnacentral:lncRNA from 1 species
AGAACUCGGUCUGUGUCUGUGCAGAUUAUGCCGACAAGCCCCUGGAGAAGCCUCUAAAGCUAGUCCUGAAGGUCGGAGGAAGUGAAGUGACUGAACUCUCAGGAUCCGGCCACGACUCCAGUUACUAUGAUGACAGGUCAGACCAUGAGCGAGAGAGGCACAAAGAAAAGAAAAAGAAGAAGAAGAAGAAGUCCGAGAAGGAGAAGCAUCUGGACGAUGAGGAAAGAAGGAAGCGAAAGGAAGAGAAGAAGCGGAAGCGAGAGAGGGAGCACUGUGACACGGAGGGAGAGGCUGACGACUUUGAUCCUGGGAAGAAGGUGGAGGUGGAGCCGCCCCCAGAUCGGCCAGUCCGAGCGUGCCGGACACAGCCAGUUCUCGGUGGAACUUAAAAUGCUGUGAGACACCAGACAGACAGAUACUGUGAACUUGGAGCUCUCUAAUGAAGGGAUACCAAAGUCUUGUAUUCAAUUUUUUUUUCCUUAAAUUGUCAGCCGAAAAUGAGAGCACACCUAUUCAGCAACUCCUGGAACACUUCC